UACGGAGGGUGCGAGCGUUGUCCGGAAUCAUUGGGCGUAAAGGGCGCGUAGGUGGCCCGGUCAGUUCGUGGUGAAAGCGCGGGGCUCAACCCUGCGUCGGCCAUGAAUACUGCCGCGGCUGGAGCACUGUAGAGGCAGGCGGAAUUCCGGGUGUAGCGGUGGAAUGCGUAGAUAUUGCUCGGGAGGCCAGAGGCGAAGGCGGGUAACUGGCACGCAACUGACACUGAGGCACGAAAGCGUGGGGAGCAAACAGG
rnacentral:rRNA from 1 species